AUUGAACGCUGGCGGCAUGCUUUACACAUGCAAGUCGGACGGCAGCACAGAGAAGCUUGCUUCUUGGGUGGCGAGUGGCGAACGGGUGAGUAACAUAUCGGAACGUACCGAGCAGUGGGGGAUAACUAAUCGAAAGAUUAGCCAAUACCGCAUAUUUUCUGAGGAAGAAAGCAGGGGACCAUUUGGCCUUGCGCUGUUUGAGCGGCCGAUAUCUGAUUAGCUAGUUGGUGGGGUAAAGGCCUACCAAGGCGACGAUCAGUAGCGGGUCUGAGAGGAUGAUCCGCCACACUGGGACUGAGACACGGCCCAGACUCCUACGGGAGACAGCAGUGGGGAAUUUUGGACAAUGGGCGCAAGCCUGAUCCAGCCAUGCCGCGUGUCUGAAGAAGGCCUUCGGGUUGUAAAGGACUUUUGUCAGGGAAGAAAAGGACAGGGUUAAUACCCCUGUCUGAUGACGUACCUGAAGAAUAG
rnacentral:rRNA from 1 species